rnacentral:rRNA from 1 species
GGGAGAAACGUCCCUUCGGGGACAGAGUAAACCGGCGGACGGGUGAGUAACACGUGAGUAACAUACCGUUGAGACGGGGAUAACGAUCCGAAAGGGUUGCUAAUACCGGAUAAAACGACAGAGCCGGGAGGCUACUGUGGUCAAAGGUCCAAGCUACGCUCAACGAUUGGCUCGCGGCCCAUUAGGUAGAUGGUGAGGGUAACGGCCUACCAUGCCGACGAUGGGUAGCUGGUCUGAGAGGAUGAUCAGUCACACUGGGACUGAGACACGGCCCAGACUCCUACGGGAGGCAGCAGUGGGGAAUCUUGCACAAUGGGGGCAACCCUGAUGCAGCGACGCCGCGUGUGUGAAGAAGGCCUUCGGGUUGUAAAGCACUGUCAGGAGGGAAGAAACCGGGCGAGUCCCGUGUGACGGUACCUCCACAGGAAGCACCGGCCAACUCCGUGCCAGCAGCCGCGGUAAUACGGAGGGUGCAAGUGUUGUUCGGAAUCAUUGGGCGUAAAGCGUAGGUAGGCGGCCGGGCAAGUCUGAUGUGAAAGCCCAGAGCUCAACUCUGGAGGCGCAUUGGAAACUGUCUGGCUUGAGUCCGGGAAGGGCCAGUGGAAUUCGUGGUGUAGGGGUGAAAUCCGUAGAUAUCACGAAGAACACCGGCGGCGAAAGCGACUGGCUGGACCGGAACUGACGCUCAGCUACGAAAGCGUAGGUAGCGAACAGGAUUAGAUACCCUGGUAGUCUACGCUGUAAUCGAUGUUCACUAGCCGUUGCGUGGUUAAAUGCGCAGUGGUGCAGUUAACGCGCUAAGUGAACCGCCUGGGGAGUCGGCCGCAAGGUUAAAAC